rnacentral:snoRNA from 1 species
AUGUUUUAAGUGAUGAAAGAAUCUCGGAUGUUAAAUCAUAGUGUCUCCGAGAGCGCGAAACCGUGUGGAGAUUUUCCGUUGCCUUCCUUCUGAUAUGGGAAGCU